GAAGCCCCGGCACCUUUUGGGGUGCUUCUCCAGACUUGCAAUCUGGUGUACACCGUACUGCAGGA
rnacentral:tRNA from 1 species